rnacentral:rRNA from 1 species
CCUACGGGAGGCUGCAGUAGGGAAUCUUCCGCAAUGGGCGAAAGCCUGACGGAGCAAUGCCGCGUGAGUGAUGAAGGUUUUCGGAUCGUAAAGCUCUGUUGCCAGGGAAGAACGUCCGGUAGAGUAACUGCUACCGGAGUGACGGUACCUGAGAAGAAAGCCCCGGCUAACUACGUGCCAGCAGCCGCGGUAAUACGUAGGGGGCAAGCGUUGUCCGGAAUUAUUGGGCGUAAAGCGCGCGCAGGCGGCUACUUAAGUCUGGUGUUUAAACCUUG